ensembl:rRNA 5S_rRNA 5S ribosomal RNA
AUUUGCAGCCAUAUCACCCUGCAACUCACAACUGGCAGCCCACUGAAGCUAAGCAGGUGUGAGCCUGGUCAGUACCCGGAUAGGAGACCUCCUGGGAGAAACUAAGGUUGCUGCUGGAA